UACAGAGGGGGCAAGCGUUGUUCGGAAUUACUGGGCGUAAAGGGCGCGUAGGCGGCCAACUAAGUCAGACGUGAAAUCCCCAGGCUCAACCUGGGAACUGCGUCUGAUACUGGAUGGCUCGAGUUCGGGAGAGGGAAGUGGAAUUCCAGGUGUAGCGGUGAAAUGCGUAGAUAUCUGGAGGAACACCGGUGGCGAAGGCGGCGAUCUGGGAAGAUACUGACGCUGAGGUGCGAAAGCGUGGGGAGCAAACAGG
rnacentral:rRNA from 1 species